UACGUAGGGGGCAAGCGUUGUCCGGAUUUAUUGGGCGUAAAGAGCGUGUAGGCGGCUUUACAGGUCCGUUGUGAAAACUCGAGGCUCAACCUCGAGACGCCGGUGGAAACCGUAAAGCUAGAGUCCGGAAGAGGAGAGUGGAAUCCUGGUGUGCGGUGAAAUGCGCAGAUAUCAGGAAGAACACCCGUGGCGAAGGCGGCUCUCUGGGACGGUACUGACGCUGAGACGCGAAAGCGUGGGGAGCGAACAGG
rnacentral:rRNA from 1 species